GUCCACGCCCUAAACGAUGCGUGCUCGGUGUUGAGACCUUUCAAUCGGUCUCUGUGCCUUAGCUUACGCGGUAAGCACGCCGCCUGGGAAGUACGGCCGCAAGGCUAAAAACUCAAAGGAAUAGACGGGGACCCACACAAGCGGUGGAGCAUGGGGUUAAUCGAUGAUAAGCGAAGCACCUCACCCAGGCUUUACAUGUCGGGAAUCUGGCCGAAAGGUCGGAGUGCCCGCAAGGGAACCCCGAACACAGGCGAUGCACGGUCGUCGU
rnacentral:rRNA from 1 species